rnacentral:rRNA from 1 species
UAAUACGUAGGCAGCAAGCGUUGUUCGGAGUUACUGGGCGUAAAGAGUGCGUAGGUGGUCCCCUAAGUUCGGUGUGAAAUCUCCCGGCUCAACUGGGAGGGUGCGCCGGAAACUGGGGGGCUUGAGUGUGGGAGAGGAAAGCGGAAUUCCUGGUGUAGCGGUGAAAUGCGUAGAUAUCAGGAGGAACACCGGUGGUGUAGACGGCUUUCUGGACCACUACUGACACUGAAGCACGAAAGCGUGGGGAGCAAACAGGAUUAGAUACCCUGGUAGUCCACGCCCUAAACGAUGCAUACUUGGUGUGAGUCAUUCAUUUGAUUCGUGCCGGAGCUAACGCGUUAAGUAUGCCGCCUGGGGAGUACGGUCGCAAGGCUG